UGCAGGAGGAGAAGCAGCAUCUCACAGGGGUAGCUUGUUUCUCCUCCUCCAGUCCCAAAAAGAGAUGGGAUAAUCAUGGCAAAGCAGUUGUGCUCCUUUUACAUAUACAAAUGAGUGGGAAGGCUGCCAGACUUAAUUCUAGAGACAGUAGGAGAAAAGAUACAAGGUUACCUGGAGAAGAAUCUUCACCCUGGAAAUUGGUCAACUUGAACAGUAAAUUACAAAUGGACGGCAGUAAGACAACCUUAAUAUUGGAAAUAAUCUGGAAAAGCUAAAACUACAACCCUACAACCAUAGAUUCUGCCAAGUUUAAGAAAAUAUACUCAUUACAAAAUCAUGAUGCAAGGAAGGAGGAAGUAUAAAUGAUCACAAGUGGUCACCAUCAACAUGGAGGUAAGUGCUUAAGAGGUAAAUCCUUUCUUGCCAAAGCAAAUGGCUACUUGAGUUCUUUUCAGGACCAUUGCCUUUUUCAAAUCAAUCUCAGAAGACAUCUUUCAUAAUUGAAGGUUGUGCUGACCAUUUUGAUUACUGUUUUGUAGACUGAAAGGUAAUUUUCCAGUUCACUAGGAACUGUAACCUAUCUCUUCUCACGAGAGAAAAAGAUAUACUUCUCUAAGGUAAGUAAAGAAUAGUCCAUUGUCUUACAUGGGAGCAGACUUUUGCAGAUAACACGAUUGGUGGGGGGCGGGAUCUGUGCCUUCACUUGAAAAGCAUAAAACAAUUCAUGGUUUCCUGAAUGCUGAAGAAAGCAACAAACUUGUAACAAAAAGUCUGGUGUAAGGAACAUUAGAAUUGUUGCUUUGCUUCAGGAUAUGUAAAAUAUCACCAACAUGGAAAUAAGAUGAAGGUAAAGUGUGCUGUCAAGUCGAUUUUGACUCAUGGCCCCCACAGAGCCCUGUGUUUUUCUUUGGUAGGAUACAGGAGGGGUUUACCAUUGCCGCCUCCCAUGCAGUAUGAGAUGAUGCCUCAGUGCCAGCUCCUCUGGGUCCUGCCGGCAUUCCCCCUCCCAGUAUGGCCCAGUGGUGGCAGCCCGGCCAUUUGUGUGACCUCCACACAUGCUGCUGCUGUAGUGGAGCUGCCGCCACUAAGGUGUCCUCUUGCCCGCCCUUUCAAUCCCUUUAGAGUAG